GAUGAACGCUGGCGGCGUGCCUAAUACAUGCAAGUCGAGCGAACAGACGAGGAGCUUGCUCCUCUGACGUUAGCGGCGGACGGGUGAGUAACACGUGGAUAACCUACCUAUAAGACUGGGAUAACUUCGGGAAACCGGAGCUAAUACCGGAUAAUAUAUUGAACCGCAUGGUUCAAUAGUGAAAGACGGUUUUGCUGUCACUUAUAGAUGGAUCCGCGCCGCAUUAGCUAGUUGGUAAGGUAACGGCUUACCAAGGCAACGAUGCGUAGCCGACCUGAGAGGGGGAUCGGCAACACUGGAACUGAGACACGGUCCAGCCUCCUACGGGAGGCAGCAGUAGGGAAUCUUCCGCAAUGGGCGAAAGCCUGACGGAGCAACGCCGCGUGAGUGAUGAAGGUCUUCGGAUCGUAAAACUCUGUUAUUAGGGAAGAACAAAUGUGUAAGUAACUAUGCACGUCUUGACGGUACCUAAUCAGAAAGCCACGGCUAACUACGUG
rnacentral:rRNA from 1 species